UACAGAGGGUGCAAGCGUUAAUCGGAAUUACUGGGCGUAAAGCGUGCGUAGACGGUUAUGUAAGUCAGAUGUGAAAGCCCCGGGCUCAACCUGGGAAUUGCAUUCGAGACUGCAUGGCUAGGAUGCGGAAGAGGGAAGCGGAAUUUCCGGUGUAGCGGUGAAAUGCGUAGAUAUCGGAAGGAACACCAGUGGCGAAAGCGGCUCCUGGUCCAGCAUCGACGUCAGGCACGAAAGCGUGGGGAGCAAACAGG
rnacentral:rRNA from 1 species